rnacentral:rRNA from 1 species
GACGAACGCUGGCGGCGUGCUUAACACAUGCAAGUCGAACGGAAAGGCCCUGCUUUUGUGGGGUGCUCGAGUGGCGAACGGGUGAGUAACACGUGAGUAACCUGCCCUUGACUUUGGGAUAACUUCAGGAAACUGGGGCUAAUACCGGAUAGGAGCUCCUGCUGCAUGGUGGGGGUUGGAAAGUUUCGGCGGUUGGGGUUGGACUCGCGGCUUAUCAGCCUGUUGGUGGGGUAGUGGCUUACCAAGGCUUUGACGGGUAGCCGGCCUGAGAGGGUGACCGGCCACAUAGGGACUGAGAGACGGCCUCGACUCCUAUGGGGGGCAGCAGUGGGGAGAUUUGCACGAUGGCCUACAGACUGGCGAAGCAGCGCCGGGUGCGGGAUGACGGUCUUCGGGGUGUAAGCAGCUUUAGCCUGUGACGAAGCGUGAGGGACGGUAAUGGGUAAAGAAGCACCGGCUAACUACGUG